ACAUAAUUGGCACAUAUACUGCUCUUUAGGCAUCUUGAGUAUUGAAUCGAGAUACGUCAAAAGUGCUAGUGUACUUGGUCCCAAAAGAGGCGUGGCCAUAGAACAGUGCGUGGACCAAUCGACAUUCGGCUUCAAAGAAAUAGAAC
ensembl:ncRNA C32C4.9 ncRNA